UUGAACAGCUGAAGCAUUUGUUGGGAAACGGUUCUUUAAAAAGAGGUUGUCUUACCAUGCAAAUGGUGGUAAAAGCCAGAUCGUGGUGAGACCCGAGUGUAGGUUGACAGCAGUUGUGAGAGAGAUCACUUCAGAGGAGACCGAGAUAGCCAGGCUGCAAGUCAGCAAAUUCCGCAAGCUGACAAAGAGGGAGAGGCGGCUAGUGCCUCACCAACUCAUCGAGACCACCCCAAAAUCAAAGUACACAGGACUAAGUUCAGCGGGGGUACCACAGCCUAUGAAAUUUGGAUUUGCUGUUUUGUAUGGCAGUUGCUGAUUUUGUGGCCUGGAUACUGUUUCAGUUUAGAUCAAACUCAUUUUCUAAGCAGGAUGGAGACGGUUUGUUGAGAAUUAUAUGCCGUCCACCUGGUGAUGAUUUUAUUUUUAUCUUUAUUUCCUGUAGGAAUUGUUUGUAGAGAACUUGAGAUGUAAUCAAGUUCAUACUUGGUAUCUGUGUUGAAUAUUCAAA